AUGCGGCGGGAGGCCACCAGGCGACCGCUGGAGCAGCUUGGGGCCGCGCUGCGGCGGUUCUACGCGCUCGUCACGGUGUGCCAGGACUGCGGGUACCUCCGCCGCCUGCUGCUGGGCGCACGGAUGGCCGACGAGCUCCGCGCGGCGCAGCACGAGAUCGGCAUGUUCAUCCGCCUCAUCCCUCUCAUCUCCCUCGUCGACAAUUCUACUGCAGAUAGUCACCGUGUCAAGCAGGCCGAUGAGGGGGUGCUCACUGUAGUCACAGAUGGUUCAAAUCGUCACAUCAGGUUUCCAACAAAACCUUUGGAGUUCACCAAAAUACGCAUUCAAGGAGCUACUGAACUCUGCAAUGCUGGAGAACAACCAUUUGUAGGAAAAGUGGACCUGCGAGAACAGAAUAUCUUCGACACUGAAGAACUUGUGGAGAUUUGUACCCGUAUGGAAGAGGCUUGCGCGGGAUUCACAAGGUUCGAUUUCUGUCAGAUCAUGGAUGCUACAGACAAUUUCUCAGAGAAUAUAAUAGUUGGGUUGGGUGGAUUUGGGAUGGUGUACAAGGGUCAGUUGCCUGGUGGACUUAAUGUUGCCAUCAAAAGAGUUAAUGAGCGCGCAACAAUACUUGAUUUCAACAGUGAAUUGCAGCUUGCAAAGCUUCAGCAUACCAAUGUGAUUAGGUUAUUGGGGUGGUGCAUCCAUGGGAAAGAAAGGAUUCUAGUGUAUGAGUUCAUGCAAAAUGGUUCCUUGGAUCAUAAAGUCUGCAAGACAGAACAAAAGGGCCGUUGCUAA
rnacentral:rRNA from 1 species